CAAUACUUUUGGGGGAAUUCACCUGAACUAAGUAAUUUCAUUGAACAUAAUGUUGGAUACCUGCGAGAGUAUGCUGCGAUCUUUAUAGCUCCAUGGCUGGCACGCGGUGGGUCCCAGUGUAAUUUGAGAAAUGCAUCCCUGCCGGCGAUUUUCAUUAAAUUAGGAAAUUAUGUGCGGAACUAUUUUGUCCCGCCCACGGGAUCUACGGAUACAAAUACUUCUGCUACACAUUUACCACCUAGACGUGUUGCAAAACAACCUGCAAAAAAAACCCACAGCUGAGACUUGCAGGAGCAGAUUCGAGCAGUUGUAAAAUGGAUUGGUGCUCCCUCAUUAAAAUGCUGAAUUAACGUAGCGUUCUUUAUCAUUUUAUUUGUGAGGAAAUUUUUCAUAGAUUCAUUACUUCAAAUUUGGGUUUACGAAUGCAAACCUUUUGGGCAUGUUCUCAGAUUAUGAAACACGGGUGUGCGAAUGUGUUUUGCACCAACUGCGCUGCAAUAAUUGUAGCAAAAGGAUUUGUGCACCUGUAACACAGAUUUGCGUACUCGUAGACCCUAUUUUGUGUUUACAAUGGUAUAAAAAAUAUUUACGACUACAUAUGUACUGUUACACAUUUGUGACAGUUGCCUUUACUCUCAGUUUGGCAAGGACAGGUAUGGUGGGCAAGGGGUUCUGAUGUAUGAGAGACUCGCUGAGAAACUAGUUCAGUACCAGGCUGAAAAUCCAGAAGCUACAACUUGUCAUCAAAUAUAUGAGGGUGUUAGUAAGCCUCUCAUAAUUGCCAUUGUAACACCUCUGAUGAAUCGUGUGCACAAGGAAGUACAGCAGUCUGGUGAAUUGUUUUUUGUGGAUGCGACUUCCAACACAGAAGAGCACAAUCUGAAAGUGUUUGUAAUGUGCACACACAGUGUAUCUGGAGCACUACCACUUGGUAUCUUCAUCACUAGUGAUGAGCAAGAAAGCACACUUAAACAGGGUUUUGAAAUGCUUCGCUCCUGUUUACCUCAGCAUGCGUUCAAUGGCCGUGGCCCAGAACAAGGACCCCAAGUCAUCCUCACAGACAACUGCAAAGAAGAAAGAAAUGCACUGAAGUCUGUUUGGCCAUCUUGUGUUUUACUCCUUUGUAUCUUUCACAUGCUCCAGCAGGUCUGGAGAUGGCUUCAUGAGGGUAGCCAUAAUAUCAACCAAUCAGACAGGCCCCAUAUCCUAAACCUUUUUAAGAAGUCCCUAUAUGCCCAAACAAAGCAAGAAUUCAACAACUGUUUCAGUGCACUUUUGAAUGAUGACCAAUGCAAACGAUACCCAAAUCUACUGAGUUAUCUACACAAUCUGUUCAAAGACAAAGAAGCUUUUGCUCUAUGCUUCAGAACAGAACUACCUGUUAGAGGCAAUCACACGAAUAACUUUGCAGAGGCCCAGUUUCUGGUUUUGAAGGAUGUGAUUCUACGUCGUACAAAAGAGUACAAUGUUGUUGGGCUACUGGACAAGCUGACAAUUGAUCUGGAAGACCAUUACAAGAAUAAGCUGCUCAGUAUUGCUGAUGGAAGUUAUGAUGGUCUUUACAGGCACCGAUUCAUGGGGAAAGGAAAGGAUGGAAGCACAGGCUUCAAAGUUCCAGAUAAAAAACAGCUGGAUACCUAUCUCUCCACUGUGAGAGACUUUGGCAACAACAUCUUCAAAGUUGGAAGCGCUUCAGAUACCAGUCAAAGUUACACCGUGGACAUGAGUCUUGGAGUGUGUAGCUGCCAGACUGGUAAAGAUGGGACCCCAUGCAAACACCAGUAUGUACUGUGGAUGGCAAAUGUAGCACACUGUAUUAAUUUCAUCCCCGUUACCAACCCAAACAGUAGACAAAAAUUGGCAUGGAUAGCAUUAGGGAAAACACUUCCUGUUGAUAGUUACAAUUCCUUACGCUCUUGUGAUGUGGGUGGUCAGAAAGAGCUUGCACAAGGCGACGGUCUUCCCAGCGAGGCAUCCACUAUCAUGGGAACAACACACUGCUCGACUCCUGUGGAGAUAGAAAACCCUGACUCUCCAGCUGAUGUUAUUGAAGCCGCAGAACAUUUGUUGCAAACCAGCUGUAUGCAGAUACUCCAAAAGCUUCAAACCACCAGAGAUCUUAAUUUGGCAAAAGGGAUAGUUAAAUUUUCAAAAAGAGUAGAAUCCCUAAGCUCUGCAAGAGCUAUGCAAUCCAAUUUGGUGAGUGCUCUUUAUAAUUUUGGGGCUAGCGAGAUCAAGAAAACAGGAAUGGGCAAGAAAAUCAAGGUCCAACCAAACAGAAAAAGGAAGACUGGGAAUGGGAGUCGUCAAGCGGUACCCAAAGGACGGCCAGUGCAGCUACAUGAGCCCAAAAGAAAACGCACACACACAUUUACUACAGCAGUGCAGUCAAAUACCAACACUAGUAAGAAGUCUGGGACCCAUACCAUGCAAUCAAAGACAAAGCAUUUAAAAAGAAAUAAAUAAAAGAGACUGGGCAAACUGGACUGGGGCAUCAACUGUAGAAUUUAAUAGGGAGAAUGUAAAUACUCAAUAUUUUGUAAAUGUAUACAAUGAAUUCACUUUUUCGUGCAGGCAUUUGCGUGUCUUGCCAGGUUUCUUUUUUCAGCAAAGUUUUUUUUGCAGUGGUCACAUUGGUAUUGUUGUUUGUGGUUCUUGUUUUUGUGUCUCCAGUUUUUUUUCAUGUUGAAAUGUUUCAUUGCAAAUGUCACACACACAUUCAUGGCAGCCUCUUUGAUGAAAUUUUAAAUCCUUCUGUCUUGUGAAGGUUAUUUGGCAAUUGGGGCAUUUAUUUGGCUCUGCCAACCCUGUGUCCCUGUCCUCCCGCUCUUGUUGGGCUUUGUCUUUCCAAUCCUAUAAAUAUAUAUAUCAAAAAUCAAGGUUUGCCUUUGCAUUUGUUGCCUUUUCUACAAUACUGAAUUUCUCUCUCAAGACAUAUACAUACACCAACAUCAAUUUACUUCAUGUCUUACUUGUGAAUCUAUUAUUAUUAUUAUUAUUAUA
rnacentral:lncRNA from 1 species